GUCGCGCAGCUUAGGUGGGAGACGUUGAACCUUUUCUUCCGGGAAAGGGGGAGUCAUCAGUGAGAUACCACUCUUGGUAAGCUAGAGCGCUCAUUUUUAACCGUUAUCCGGUAAAAAGACAGUUUCAGGCGGGCAGUUUGACUGGGGCAGUCACCUCCCAAAAGGUAAUGGAGGUGUACAAAGGUUCUCUCAGGCUGGACGGAAAUCAGCCAUAGAGUGUAAAAGCAUAAGAGAGCUUGACUGCGAGACGGACAUGUCAAGCAGAGACGAAAGUCGGUUUUAGUGAUCCGACGGUGCUGAGUGGAGAGGCCGUCGCUCAACGGAUAAAAGUUACUCUAGGGAUAACA
rnacentral:rRNA from 1 species